rfam:Oscillatoria nigro-viridis PCC 7112, complete genome.
CAGAGCCGGAUGAUGCGAAAGUGUCACGUCCGGUUCGUUGGGGAGAGGGAUACGGCGACGUAUGCCCUCUUACCCGAC